rnacentral:rRNA from 1 species
UACGUAGGUGGCGAGCGUUGUCCGGAUUUACUGGGCGUAAAAGGAGCGUAGGCGGGCUUUUAAGUGAGAUGUGAAAUACUCGGGCUCAACUUGAGUGCUGCAUUUCAAACUGGAAGUCUAGAGUGCAGGAGAGGAGAAUGGAAUUCCUAGUGUAGCGGUGAAAUGCGUAGAGAUUAGGAAGAACACCAGUGGCGAAGGCGAUUCUCUGGACUGUAACUGACGCUGAGGCUCGGAAGCGUGGGGAGCAAACAGG